AUGGGUAUUGGUCAAAUCCUACCCAUUGAGGAACCCCUUGUGGCCGAAGGAGAAGGACAAUGCUCUACUCAAGUAGAUCCAUCACCUCAUCAAGACCCACACACUUCGGAAGAACAAAGUGAAGGCCCUCAACCUGGUGAACAAGGCCAAGGGCAAGAUCUACCUCAAGACGGUGAUGAACCACUAAAUGAUGCCCAAGGUCAAGUUCUCCCCCUCGAGCGAGUUCAAGAUCAAGAGCAACCUCAAGAUCAAGAACAAACUCAAGACGGCGCUCAAGAUCAUCAAGUCAACCCUCCUCCUUCCACACCCGAGGAGGAAUUAGAGCGUCGUGCCGCGAAGAUUGCUUCCAAGCUCACCACCUAA
rnacentral:rRNA from 1 species